GUGUCAGCAGCCGCGGUAAUACGUAGGGUGCGAGCGUUAAUCGGAAUUACUGGGCGUAAAGCGUGCGCAGGCGGUUUGGCAAGUCAGAUGUGAAAUCCCCGAGCUCAACUUGGGAACUGCGUUUGAAACUGCCAGACUAGAAUAUGUCAGAGGGGGGUAGAAUUCCACGUAUAGCAGUGAAAUGCGUAGAGAUGUGGAGGAAUACCAAUGGCGAAGGCAGCCCCCUGGGAUAAUAUUGACGCUCAUGCACGAAAGCGUGGGGAGCAAACAGGAUUAGAAACCCGUGUAGUCC
rnacentral:rRNA from 1 species